CAACGAAAGUCACACUCUGUGAACGCACACGCGCUGCGGCAGCUGACAGUUUCAGUGAACCACGGAGACGAACGGAUUACGGCGCUGGGAACCAACAAAUCAGCGAAAAUAAUAAGAAAAAACACCAAAAACCUAAACAAGAAAA